rnacentral:rRNA from 1 species
UACGUAGGUCCCGAGCGUUGUCCGCUUUUAUUGGGCCUAAAGCGUCCGUAGCCGGUCUGAUAAGUCUCUGGUGAAAUCCCACAGCUUAACUGUGGGAAUUGCUGGAGAUACUAUCAUGACUCGAGGUCGGGAGAGGCUGGAGGUACUCCCAGGGUAGGGGUGAAAUCCUGUAAUCCUGGGAGGACCACCUGUGGCGAAGGCGUCCAGCUGGAACGAACCUGACGGUGAGGGACGAAAGCCAGGGGCGCGA